rnacentral:rRNA from 1 species
UUCGGGUCUAGCGGCGGACGGGUGAGUAACGCGUGGGAACGUGCCCUUCUCUACGGAAUAGCCCCGGGAAACUGGGAGUAAUACCGUAUACGCCCUUUGGGGGAAAGAUUUAUCGGAGAAGGAUCGGCCCGCGUUGGAUUAGGUAGUUGGUGGGGUAAUGGCCCACCAAGCCGACGAUCCAUAGCUGGUUUGAGAGGAUGAUCAGCCACACUGGGACUGAGACACGGCCCAGACUCCUACGGGAGGCAGCAGUGGGGAAUCUUAGACAAUGGGGGCAACCCUGAUCUAGCCAUGCCGCGUGAGUGAUGAAGGCCUUAGGGUUGUAAAGCUCUUUCAGCUGGGAAGAUAAUGACGGUACCAGCAGAAGAAGCCCCGGCUAACUCCGUGCCAGCAGCCGCGGUAAUACGGAGGGGGCUAGCGUUGUUCGGAAUUACUGGGCGUAAAGCGCACGUAGGCGGACUGGAAAGUCAGAGGUGAAAUCCCAGGGCUCAACCUUGGAACUGCCUUUGAAACUAUCAGUCUGGAGUUCGAGAGAGGUGAGUGGAAUUCCGAGUGUAGAGGUGAAAUUCGUAGAUAUUCGGAGGAACACCAGUGGCGAAGGCGGCUCACUGGCUCGAUACUGACGCUGAGGUGCGAAAGCGUG